rnacentral:tRNA from 1 species
CGGGCUGUGGCUCAGCUUGGUAGAGCACUUGCAUGGGGUGCAAGGGGUCGUGGGUUCGAAUCCCGCCAGCCCGACCA